GGCGAGGUAGCUCAGUUGGUAAGAGCGCUGGAUUCAUAACCCAGAGGUCGAGAGUUCGAAUCUCUCUCUCGCUACCA
rnacentral:tRNA from 1 species